UAAAAACGACUAAAUCAUUCAAACCUCGCAAACUAGGAACAUGUGUGAUAUAUAUCAUGGAUUAACUAUAUUAAUUCCAAAGAGGAUGGCGCUGAAAACAAUCAUUCAAGGAACUUUUUUCUUGCUAGUGUGUGGCUAUGUGUGCGAGGCAGACCUUGACAAGUGUUCGGGAAAAGCAUGUAGGGACACAAACAUGUGUCAAGAAGCCCACGGCGUAUGCACGUGUCAAAUGGGUUAUUCACUAAAUGCUACUACUGGGUUAUGUGACGACUUGGACGAAUGCGCCAAUCAUUUUCAUGACCCGUGCGGACACAGAGGGCGCUGUAACAACAAUGUUGGAAGUUA